GCAGUCGAACGAACUCUGGUAUUGAUUGGUGCUUGCAUCAUGAUUUACAUUUGAGUGAGUGGCGAACUGGUGAGUAACACGUGGGAAACCUGCCCAGAAGCGGGGGAUAACACCUGGAAACAGAUGCUAAUACCGCAUAACAACUUGGACCGCAUGGUCCGAGUUUGAAAGAUGGCUUCGGCUAUCACUUUUGGAUGGUCCCGCGGCGUAUUAGCUAGAUGGUGGGGUAACGGCUCACCAUGGCAAUGAUACGUAGCCGACCUGAGAGGGUAAUCGGCCACAUUGGGACUGAGACACGGCCCAAACUCCUACGGGAGGCAGCAGUAGGGAAUCUUCCACAAUGGACGAAAGUCUGAUGGAGCAACGCCGCGUGAGUGAAGAAGGGUUUCGGCUCGUAAAACUCUGUUGUUAAAGAAGAACAUAUCUGAGAGUAACUGUUCAGGUAUUGACGGUAUUUAACCAGAAAGCCACGGCUAACUACGUGCCAGCAGCCGCGGUAAUACGUAGGUGGCAAGCGUUGUCCGGAUUUAUUGGGCGUAAAGCGAGCGCAGGCGGUUUUUUAAGUCUGAUGUGAAAGCCUUCGGCUCAACCGAAGAAGUGCAUCGGAAACUGGGAAACUUGAGUGCAGA
rnacentral:rRNA from 2 species